AGGCUCUCGCAUCGAUGAAGAACGCAGCGAACUGCGAUAAGUAAUGUGAAUUGCAGAAUUCAGUGAGUCAUCGAAUCUUUGAACGCAUCUUGCGCCCGGUGGUAUUCCGCCGGGCACGCCUGUUUGAGUGUCACGUUAAUCCUCGUACUACAUACUUUAUUGUGUAUAGUGCGGAUGUGGAGGUUUGCCGUAGUGGGCUCCUCUUGAAAUGCAUUAGCUGUCUAAAUUGUAAGCAUACGUGUGAUAAUUUUCGUCGCAAUGUGCAUAUAAUGGUGACGGCUCAUAAAAAACCUACAUUUUAUGACUUUGGCCUCAAAUCAGGUGGGACUACCCGCUGA
rnacentral:misc_RNA from 1 species